rnacentral:rRNA from 1 species
UAAUACGGGAGGCAGCAGUGGGGAAUAUUGCACAAUGGGCGCAAGCCUGAUGCAGCCAUGCCGCGUGUGUGAAGAAGGCCUUCGGGUUGUAAAGCACUUUCAGUCGUGAGGAAGGUGGUGUAGUUAAUAGCUGCAUUAUUUGACGUUAGCGACAGAAGAAGCACCGGCUAACUCCGUGCCAGCAGCCGCGGUAAUACGGAGGGUGCGAGCGUUAAUCGGAAUUACUGGGCGUAAAGCGCAUGCAGGUGGUUUGUUAAGUCAGAUGUGAAAGCCCGGGGCUCAACCUCGGAAUAGCAUUUGAAACUGGCAGACUAGAGUACUGUAGAGGGGGGUAGAAUUUCAGGUGUAGCGGUGAAAUGCGUAGAGAUCUGAAGGAAUACCGGUGGCGAAGGCGGCCCCCUGGACAGAUACUGACACUCAGAUGCGAAAGCGUGGGGAGCAAACAGGAAUAGAUACCCUGGUAGUCCACGCCGUAAACGAUGUCUACUUGGAGGUUGUGGGCUUGAACCCUGGCUUUCGGAGCUAACGCG